GAUGAACGCUGGCGGCGUGCCUAACACGUGCAAGUCGAGCGAUUCUCUUCGGAGAAGAGCGGCGGACGGGUGAGUAACGCGUGGGUAACCUGCCCUGUACACACGGAUAACAUACCGAAAGGUAUGCUAAUACGAGAUAAUAUGCUUUUAUCGCAUGGUAGAAGUAUCAAAGCUCCGGCGGUACAGGAUGGACCCGCGUCUGAUUAGCUAGUUGGUAAGGUAACGGCUUACUAAGGCGACGAUCAGUAGCCGACCUGAGAGGGUGAUCGGCCACAUUGGAACUGAGACACGGUCCAAACUCCUACGGGGGGCAGCAGUGGGGAAUAUUGCACAAUGGGCGAAAGCUUGAUGCAGCAACGCCGCGUGAGCGAUGAAGGCCUUCGGGUCGUAAAGCUCUGUCCUCAAGGAAGAUAAUGACGGUACUUGAGGAGGAAGCCCCGGCUAACUACGUGCCAGCAGCCGCAGUAA
rnacentral:rRNA from 1 species